rnacentral:lncRNA from 1 species
AUGGCAACCCAUAAUAAUAUCCUCCUUUUUACCUUCGUAGUUUUAUGCAUUGUUUCCAUCGUGGUUGCAGGAGUACUAGAUGAUACAUUACAUUGCUUUCAAGGAAUAUGUCCUAAUCAGGACUGUACCAAAUUUUGUAAAGAAAGAGAAGGCUACCCUAAAGGUGGUUACUGUUUGGGGGACUCACUAUUGUGUUGUUGCAUUGGAGCUUGA